AACCUCCGCAAUGUGAGAAAUCGCGACGGGGGGAUCCCAAGUGCCAUUCUUAACGGGAUGGCUUUUCAUUAGUGUAAAGAGCUUUUGGAAUAAGAGCUGGGCAAGACCGGUGCCAGCCGCCGCGGUAACACCGGCAGCUCUAGUGGUAACAAUUUUUAUUGGGCCUAAAGCGUCCGUAGCCGGUUUAAUAAGUCUCUGGUGAAAUCCUGUAGCUUAACUGUGGGAAUUGCUGGAGAUACUAUUAGACUUGAGACCGGGAGAGGUUAGAGGUACUCCCAGGGUAGAGGUGAAUUCUGUAAUCCUGGGAGGACCGCCUGUUGCGAAGGCGUCUAACUGGAACGGUUCUGACGGUGAGGGACGAAAGUUAGGGGCGCGAACCGGAUUAGAUACCCGGGUAGUCCUAACUGUAAACGAUGCGGACUUGGUGUUGGGGUGGCUUUGAGCUGCUCCAGUGCCGAAGGGAAGCUGUUAAGUCCGCCGCCUGGGAAGUACGGUCGCAAGACUGAAACUUAAAGGAAUU
rnacentral:rRNA from 1 species